rnacentral:miRNA from 1 species
AGAUAUGUUUGAUAUUUUUUGGUG